GACGAACGCUGGCGGCGUGCCUAACACAUGCAAGUCGAACGGGGCGGAGGAAGCUUGCUUCCGAAGCUUAGUGGCGAACGGGUGAGUAACGCGUGAGGAACCUGCCUUUCAGUGGGGGACAACAGUUGGAAACGACUGCUAAUACCGCAUAAUGUAUCUGGACCGCAUGAUCCGGAUACCAAAGCUUUAUGUGCUGAAAGAUGGCCUCGCGUCUGAUUAGCUAGUUGGUGGGGUAACGGCCCACCAAGGCGACGAUCAGUAGCCGGUCUGAGAGGAUGAACGGCCACAUUGGGACUGAGAUACGGCCCAG
rnacentral:rRNA from 1 species